GAUGAAGAACGUAGCGAAAUGCGAUACGUAAUGUGAAUUGCAGAAUUCAGUGAAUCAUCGAAUCUUCGAACGCAUAUUGCGCUCUCUGGUAUUCCGGAGAGCAUGCUUGUUUGAGUAUCAGUAAACACCUCAACUUCCAUAUCUUUUUUUGAAAUGGGAGUUGGACUUGAGUGAUCCCAACGCUUUUCCUCACCGAAAAGUGGCGGGUUACUUGAAAUGCAGGUGCAGCUGGACUUUUCUCUGAGCUAUAAGCAUAUCUAUUUAGUCUGCCUAAAAAACAGAUUAUUACCUUUGCUGCAGCUAACAUAAAGGAGAUUAGUUCUUGUGCUGACUGAUGCAGGAUUCACAAAGACAGCUUCGGCCGACUUUGUAAACUCGAUCUCAAAUCAAGUAAGAUUACCCGCUGAACUUAAGCAUAUCAAUAAGCGGAGGA
rnacentral:misc_RNA from 1 species